rnacentral:rRNA from 1 species
AUUGAACGCUGGCGGAAUGCUUUACACAUGCAAGUCGAACGGCAGCACGGACUUCGGUCUGGUGGCGAGUGGCGAACGGGUGAGUAACAUAUCGGAACGUAUCCAAUAAUGGGGGAUAACGAGUCGAAAGAUUCGCUAAUACCGCAUACGCCCUACGGGGGAAAGCAGGGGAUCUUCGGACCUUGCGUUAAGGGAGCGGCCGAUAUCUGAUUAGCUAGUUGGUGAGGUAAAGGCUCACCAAGGCGACGAUCAGUAGCUGGUCUGAGAGGACGACCAGCCACACUGGAACUGAGACACGGUCCAGACUCCUACGGGAGGCAGCAGUGGGGAAUUUUGGACAAUGGGGGCAACCCUGAUCCAGCCAUUCCGCGUGAGUGAAGAAGGCCUUCGGGUUGUAAAGCUCUUUCGCAAGGGAAGAAAACUUAUCUAAUAACACUAGGUGAGGCUGACGGUACCUUGAUAAGAAGCACCGGCUAACUACGUGCCAGCAGCCGCGGUAAAAC